rnacentral:rRNA from 1 species
UAAGGAAUAUUGGACAAUGGUCGCAAGACUGAUCCAGCCAUGCCGCGUGCAGGAAGACGGCCCUAUGGGUUGUAAACUGCUUUUGUACCAGAGAAAACCUAUCUACGUGUAGAUAGCUGAUAGUAUGGUAAGAAUAAGCAUCGGCUAACUUCGUGCCAGCAGCCGCGGUAAGACGAAGGAUGCAAGCGUUAUCCGGAUUUACUGGGUUUAAAGGGUGCGUAGGUGGGCUUAUAAGUCAGUGGUGAAAUCUCCGAGCUUAACUUGGAAACUGCCGUUGAUACUAUAGGUCUUGAAUUAUCUGGAGGUAAGCGGAAUAUGUCAUGUAGCGGUGAAAUGCUUAGAUAUGACAUAGAACACCAAUUGCGAAGGCAGCUUACUACAUAUAAAUUGACGCUGAGGCACGAAAGCGCGGGGAUCAAACA